rnacentral:lncRNA from 1 species
AAUAAUAAAAUUGACAUUAAAAUAAGAAAAAAUUGGGUUUUAGGGGUUGUGUUUAAAAUUUAGGAUUUAGGGUAUAGGUUUUAGGGUUUUGGGUUUGAAGGUAAAUGAAAUGGAGUGAGAGGGAAAGUGAAAAGAGGGUGGAUGUUAAAAUCAAUAAUUUUCCCACCUUAAUUAUGCAUAGCGUUUCAAAACUGAAAGUGCUAUAUAUAAUAUGUUUCUAAAAAGCGUUUGCUGAAUUAAAAUCGGAUCAACCAAACAUAGCGUUUACAUUU